AUUGAACGCUGGCGGCGUGCUUAACACAUGCAAGUCGUGCGGUAACAGGCGUAGCAAUACGUGCUGACGAGCGGCGAACGGGUGCGUAAUACAUGGGAAUCUGCCCUUUAGUGGGGAAUAACCCGGCGAAAGCCGGGCUAAUGCCGCAUAAGAUCUUCGGAUGAAAGCGGGGGAUCGUAAGACCUUGCGCUGAUGGAUGAGCCCAUGUCGGAUUAGCAGUUGGUGAGGUAACGGCUCACCAAGGCGACGAUCCGUAGCUGGUCUGAGAGGACGGCCAGCCACACUGGGACUGAGACACGGCCCAGACUCCUACGGGAGGCAGCAGUGGGGAAUAUUGCGCAAUGGGCGAAAGCCUGACGCAGCGACGCCGCGUGGGGGA
rnacentral:rRNA from 1 species